AAAUGAGUGAAGUCCGUAGCUUGAUGUCCACUUUUGCCAUUUUGGCUGUGCUACUGAUCCUUCUCUGGCUGUUGUAUGCCAUCUUUUAAGCUGGAAAUCAAUCAAAACAAAAACAACAACAGCGAUCACAGGUGUCUUACUUGCGAUCGUAAAGUAUAAAGGAUAUGGAGUGUCUAGUAUUAGAAAAGCUUUAAAAAUCAAUCAACAACAAAAACCAACAUAACAACAGCAAAAACAUGAAUGAAGCCAAGAGUCUGUUCACCACUUUCCUCAUCCUGGUCUUCCUGUUGGGCCUGCUGUGGGCUUUCUAUGAAGCCGUUUUCUAAAACACCAACGCGUUAUUAUUAACAACAACAAUAAUAGCAGCAUCUAGACAUGAUUUUCAUCUAAUUAAUAUUUUUGUCGGCACCCGCACUUAAAAUACACACACACAUACAUACAUACAAGCAUACAUAUCCUGUGUAUGUUGGGUACGACAUUUUCGUCAGUUUUUUUUUUAUUUAACACCAUCAAAUUCAUGGAAAAUAGUUUGGAGCAAUUAAUUAACGGUAUCAUCGUGUAAUCUGGCAACACCAAGAACACCAUCUUACAUAAUAGAAUUAAUACGCGUAAAAGCAAUUCCAAAUAACAUUAAAAUUCGUAAAAUAAGGACAAAUGUCAACAAAGAAAUGGCGUUCGUUUAGUCAGAAAAUGAGAUGACGUCAACGCUCGACAAAUAUGCGAAUACCAACGAAGCAGCGGCCUGCUGUGUCGCCACCAAGCCAAAGGAUUUUCGCGUAUCAACACAUUCAGAGCGCGCUGGGAUUAGUUGAAGGGCUCGCAGUUUGUGCUCCAUAAACAAUAGCAACUAUCAGCUGCCAGCGAUCCAUCAGUUCAACAAUCAAAAGUAAACUAUUUGUCCAGCGGACGUCCAUCUCAUUGACUCAAAGAAAAUUGCGUUUAUUUAAAAAUAAAGGAAAAAUACAUAUGUUAAAAAAACACCUAAAACAAAAAAAAUCAAAAAAAGCUUAGUAGCGAGCAACAACAGCAAUGUUUGGCGCACGUUUAGCACAUAUUUUUCUUCUUAGUUGUAUAAGGGUAUUUGAUAUAAGCCAUAGUUGUAGCGAAUUUAUAAUAUUAUGAAAUAUUUAUCAAACAGCAGCUGGCAGGAACGAAAACAAAAAUGGGUAUUUAUGGAACGUUAAAGAAUUAUAAGAUCUUAAUGUAAAAAAAUAAAAAAUAAACUACAGAAAAACAUCACAAAA